UACGUAGGGUGCGAGCGUUAAUCGGAAUUACUGGGCGUAAAGUGUGCGCAGGCGGCCGAGCAAGUCGAGUGUGAAAGCCCCGAGCUUAACUUGGGAACUGCGCUCGAAACUACUUGGCUGGAGUGUGGCAGAGGGAGGUGAAUUCCACGUGUAGCGGUGAAAUGCGUAGAGAUGUGGAGGAACACCGAUGGCGAAGGCAGCCUCCUGGGCCAACACUGACGCUCAUGCACGAAAGCGUGGGGAGCAAACAGG
rnacentral:rRNA from 1 species